ensembl:ncRNA T23G5.11 ncRNA
CCUCAAUAUCAUCGUCGUUUUUCUUCCAAAUUCUGCUUCUGAAUCAUGUCGGCGUCUCCUAACGACGCAGUCUCAGUUGGUGAAGACUACGGUGCGGUGGAUAAUUGCCGGAAAGCAUCUAUCUACUUAUACUUCUUUUCUUCUUUUUCUACAUUUAUCCGAGCUAUGUGUAUAUGUUUGUGCGAUUAUAUCUGCUU